AAUACGAGAUGCUAAGGCGUCGAAGUAGUGUAUGUCAUACUUCCAAUCAUAGCUUGCACUGUCAUAAUAAAAAAUGCCUGUACCAUAACCGACACAGGUGGGUAAGUAGAGUAUACUAAGGGGCGCGAGAUAACUCUCUCUAAGGAACUCGGCAAAAUAACUCCGUAACUUCGGGAGAAGGAGUGCCUUAUUCUUAAGGUUGCAAUAACAAGAUCCAAGCAACUGUUUAUCAAAAACACAGGUCUCCGCUAAGUCGUAAGACGAUGUAUGGGGGCUGACGCCUGCCCAGUGCCAGAAGGUUAAAGAAGUUGGUUAGCAAUUGCGAAGCUGGUAACUGAAGCCCUGGUGAACGGCGGCCGUAACGAUAACGGUCCUAAGGUAGCGAAAUUCCUUGUCGGGUAAGUUCCGACCCGCACGAAAGGCGUAAUGAUUUGGAUGCUGUCUCGGAGAGGGGCUCGGUGAAAUAGACUUGUCUGUGAAGAUGCGGACUACCUGCACCAGGACAGAAAGACCCUAUGAAGCUUUACUGUAACUUGAAAUUGAAAUUGGACUUUAUUUGCGCAGUAUAGGUGGGAGGCGUUGAUUAUAAUCUUGCGGGAUUAUUGGAGCCAUCAGUGAGAUACCACUCUUGUAAUGUUAGAUUUCUAACUUUGAAUCAUUAUCUGGUCAAAGGACAAUUUCAGGCGGGCAGUUUGACUGGGGCGGUCGCCUCCUAAAUGGUAACGGAGGCGUACAAAGGUUUCCUCUGAACGGUUAGAAAUCGUAUCUAGAGUGUAAAGGCAUAAGGAAGCUUGACUGUGAGACCUACAAGUCGAGCAGGGACGAAAGUCGGUCUUAGUGAUCUGACGGUACUGAGUGGAAAGGCCGUCACUCAACGGAUAAAAGUUACUCUAAGGAUAACAGGCUGAUCUCCCCCAAGAGUUCACAUCGACGGGGAGGUUUGGCACCUCGAUGUCGGCUCAUCGCAUCCUGGGGCGGUAGUACGUCCCAAGGGUUGGGCUGUUCGCCCAGAAAGCGGUACGCGAGCUGGGUUCAGAACGUCGUGAGACAGUUCGGUCCAUAUCCGGUGUAGGCGUUAGAAUAUUGAGAGGAGCCUUCUUUAGUACGAGAGGACCGAGAAGGACAUACCUCUGGUGUACCAGUUAUCGUGCCAACGGUAGACGCUGGGUAGCUAUGUAUGGAGUGGAUAACCGCUGAAAGCAUCUAAGUGGGAAGCCCACCUCAAGAUAAGUAUUCUC
rnacentral:rRNA from 1 species